UUCCAGCCCUGGCCCCACCUUCCCUUCAGCAGUCCGUGUUGUCUGGGUAGUCUGUGGCCAGUGUAGCCCUGUUGCAGAGUGAGGUCUCCGCUGAAAGGAGAACUGGCGUGGGUCGUUGUUUGAAAAGAAUCAGGCCCCAGCGAGGUUCACUGGAAGCUAACACUGGAUGCAGCAGAAUCUGGGUCUGACAGGAGGUCAGCGUCACCAUUUUGAGGGUGAUGGACAUGUUUUCUGCACUCUAGCACUGUAUGGAAGCGCUGGCUGACAGCAGCCUGGCUGUCCGAAUUCCAAAGAAAUGGGCUCCUUCUAAAUAUUCAGGUGCUGCUGCAUACUCGGGAGCACAUGCUUUCCUUGCCCUUGCAGGUGGGGGUGUCCUUGGUUGGAGAGGGUGCUCCUCUGUGCCGCGUCUCAGCAGCCCCACCAGAGCUGGCUCCCCUUCCCCAUGCAGGUGCAGGGAGCUCACCUGAGGCUGAGGCAGGCCCAGGCCCAGCACUUGCAGGAGGUCCGGCAGCUGCAGGAGCAGAUGGGCCGGCUGGUGCCCCAGGACCGUGUGGCCGAGCUGCAGCGCCUGCUCAGCCUUCAGGGAGAGCAGGCCAGGAGGUGCCUGGAUGCACAGCGGGAAGAACAUGAGAAACAGCUGAAAGCCACAGAAGAGCGGGUGGAAGAGGCGGAGAUGAUUCUGAAGAAUAUGGAAAUGCUCCUCCAAGAGAAAGUGGAUAAGCUGAAGGAGCAGUUUGAAAAGAACACGAAGUCCGACCUGCUGCUGAAGGAGCUGUACGUGGAGAACGCCCACCUGGUGAGAGCACUUCAGGCCACCGAGGAGAAGCAGCGAGGCGCCGAGAAACAAAGCCGCCUCUUGGAAGAAAAAGUUCGCGCUCUCAACAAACUCGUCAGUAGGAUUGCCCCCGCAGCCCUCUCUGUGUAAAGACGGAUUAUUUUCUAGGAUUCAUUCGAAAGCACAUCUUUUAAAUUAAGCCACUGUGCUGCCUUAGAUUCCGUGGGUCAUGAGCCAUGAGUCCUGGGACAUCUGAGGACUGGGAUUCUUUGUUCACCCCGCAGAUAGUUAAUGAAUGGUCUGCCCUGGGCAAGAUGGAGGUGGGGGCUGGGGGAAUAUGCAUGUUGCAGAAGCCGGCGUUUUCAUUAGCGGUCCUGAGUAAUUUCCCUUGGCAAAAUUCCCAGUUUUGCCACUCGCUGGAGCCAGAUCCUGGGAGCUGUCAGCAAGGAGCAGGUAAGUGAGCAGUUACGGACAGCACUUUCCAUGUGGUGCUUCCGACCCUGGCUGCCGGAUUGAAAUGUAAAGUCAGGGCUCUGUACAGUUUUGCCAUUUCACUGUUCUGCUUUAAGCUUAGGUUAUUAGAACUCUUGGUGGAGGGUGCGUACACACAUUCCAGAAAAGGCUUCACUCACUGGGAACGUCAACCCAGCGAGAAAGGAGGGGAAGCCCCUUCUCCGGGGACCUUAUCUGUGGACUCAGGGAUGAUGGUGUUUAUUGCAAAUGCACAAUCUUUUUCCCAUUGAAAUGUCGUCACACUGGAAAUU
rnacentral:sRNA from 1 species